AUUGAACGCUGGCGGCGCGCCUAACACAUGCAAGUCGAGCGGUAACAGGUGUAGCAAUACAUGCUGACGAGCGGCGGACGGGUGAGUAACGCUUGGGAAUCUGCCUAUUAGUGGGGGACAACCCGGGGAAACUCGGGCUAAUACCGCAUACGCUCUACGGAGGAAAGCCGGGGACCGCAAGGCCUGGCGCUAAUAGAUGAGCCCAAGUCGGAUUAGCUAGUUGGUAGGGUAANGGCCUACCAAGGCGACGAUCCGUAACUGGUCUGAGAGGACGACCAGUCACACCGGAACUGAGACACGGUCCGGACUCCUACGGGAGGCAGCAGUGGGGAAUAUUGGACAAUGGGCGAAAGCCUGAUCCAGCGACGCCGCGUGGGUGAAGAAGGCCUGCGGGUUGUAAAGCCCUUUCAGUGGGGAAGAAAAGCCUCGACCUAACACGUCGGGGUCUUGACGUAACCCAUAGAAGAAGCACCGGCUAACUCUGUGCCAGCAGCCGCGGUAAG
rnacentral:rRNA from 1 species